AUUGAACGCUGGCGGCAGGCCUAACACAUGCAAGUCGAGCGGAUGAAGGGAGCUUGCUCCUGGAUUCAGCGGCGGACGGGUGAGUAAUGCGUAGGAAUCUGCCUGGUAGUGGGGGAUAACGUCCGGAAACGGGCGCUAAUACCGCAUACGUCCUGAGGGAGAAAGUGGGGGAUCUUCGGACCUCACGCUAUCAGAUGAGCCUAGGUCGGAUUAGCUAGUUGGUGGGGUAAAGGCCUACCAAGGCGACGAUCCGUAACUGGUCUGAGAGGAUGAUCAGUCACACUGGAACUGAGACACGGUCCAGACUCCUACGGGAGGCAGCAGUGGGGAAUAUUGGACAAAGGGCGAAAGCCUGAUCCAGCCAUGCCGCGUGUGUGAAGAAGGUCUUCGGAUUGUAAAGCACUUUAAGUUGGGAGGAAGGGCAGUAAGUUAAUACCUUGCUGUUUUGACGUUACCAACAGAAUAAGCACCGGCUAACUUCGUG
rnacentral:rRNA from 1 species